AGUAAAUGUUGUUACAGGACAAGGAGGAGGUCUGAGUAGACCCAGUAAAUGUUGUUACAGGACAAGGAGGAGGUCUGAGUAGACCCAGUAAAUGUUGUUACAGGACAAGGAGGAGGUCUGAGUAGACCCAGUAAAUGUUGUUACAGGACAAGGAGGAGGUCUGAGUAGACCCAGUAAAUGUUGUUACAGGACAAGGAGGAGGUCUGAGUAGACCCAGUAAAUGUUGUUACAGGACAAGGAGGAGGUCUGAGUAGACCCAGUAAAUGUUGUUACAGGACAAGGAGGAGGUCUGAGUAGACCCAGUAAAUGUUGUUACAGGACAAGGAGGAGGUCUGAGUAGACCCAGUAAAUGUUGUUACAGGACAAGGAGGAGGUCUGAGUAGACCCAGUACAUGUUG